rnacentral:misc_RNA from 1 species
GAAAUGCGAUAAGUAGUGUGAAUUGCAGAAUUCAGUGAAUCAUCGAAUCUUUGAACGCACAUUGCGCCCCUUGGUAUUCCAUGGGGCAUGCCUGUUCGAGCGUCAUCUACACCCUCAAGCUCUGCUUGGUGUUGGGCGUCUUUGUCCCGCCUCCGCGCGCGGACUCGCCCCAAAUUCAUUGGCAGCGGUCCUUGCCUCCUCUCGCGCAGCACAUUGCGCUUCUCGAGGUGUUGCGGCCCGCGUCCAGAAAGCAAUCGUUACCGUCUUUGACCUCGGAUCUGGUAGGGAUACCCGCUGAACUUAAGC